CCUUAUUGGAAUAUCAUGGACUUUCCUAUAAAACUUCUUUGGGUGUUGUACUUAAAGUCUGUCCAGAAUCUAUUUCUCCUUAUAAAUAUGUAAAUCCUUAAUAGCUGGUUUGGGCUCCCACCAUUUCCCCCCUUUUUAGCAAUCCUUUGAUGAUUUUCAUAUUGGAAAAUUAUUACAUCAACAAUUCUGUCAUUGACUACAAUAAUAUUAAUACCUUCUGGCUACCUCUGUAUCAAUCAAAUUCUGCAGGUGCAAACAUAUACCAGGGAAUUGUUACUGGCAAAAUGAUCAACUUUGGGCAUCCAUCCACUGUGAGUAGACCUGGUUGACCUAACCCUUUACCCCCAAAUUUCUUAUUUGCUGGAUACAGGAAAUGA
rnacentral:lncRNA from 1 species